UGUCUAGCUGGCAGGCCCCUGAGCCCCUUGCUGUGGGUUAUGUGAGGGCAUGCCCGAUAGCAGAGCCCCUCCUCAUGUCCCGACCUGCCACCCUCUCCCCAUAUCUCCUAUGUCUGCAGUGGGUGAAUGGUGUCCACAUGCUAGAGCAUGAAAGGGCCUACCUCCCCUCCGAGGCUGACAUCAGCAGCCUGUUCCCGGUGGGCCUCUGCCCUACCACCUCUGCAUCACUGUCGCCAUCAACAGCAUGCUCACCGCCCCAACCCUGCCACCAGGGACCGUUCUUAUGGGAUCCGCACUGUGGCUGUCACUGAGAGCCCAUUCCUCAUCAAUGGGAAACCUUUCUAUUUCCACGGAGUCAAGAAGCAUGAGGAUGUAGACGUGCACUGCGGCUCCUGGGUCCUCGUGGGGGCUGCUUCUGGUCACCUUCCACUUUUGCCUUCCCUGUGUCCUGCAGUUCAGGCCGAUGAGGCAAAUGAGCUUCCCUGUGGCAGCUCAGGAUGA
rnacentral:lncRNA from 1 species